rnacentral:misc_RNA from 1 species
UCAUAUUAUUAUAUAUAUUUGUAUUUGCAUAGAAUUAUAGAGUUUAUAUUUUCAGAUGAAUUUAAUAUGUUGUUGAGACAGUCUGUUCUGAGAGCGGGAGGAGGUGGAUUUAAAAACGCCGGAUUAUUAAAUGGCGGACUGUUCCAAAAUGGAGAAUAUUACCAAAAUGGCGGACAAAUCCAAAAUGGCAGACAAUUCCAAAAUGGUGGUGGACAGUACAACAGAAUAUUUCAUAAACAUCCUCUGACGCUGGGAUUUAGGAACAAAGAUAAUUAUCAGAGUAUUGCAGUGAAUAGGUUAACAAAUAUCCCGGUUAAAAACAUUCAAAGGACGUUAAACCUUCAGGGAUUGAAUCCAAAUGCGUUAUCUGCGAGAUCAAAAGGAACUCUACCGUCCAGAUUAGUUGAAAGUUCUCCCUCUGGUCUUCAACCAUACCUCAAGCUAGCAAGAUUAGAUAAACCAGUAGGGACAUGGUUGUUGUUUUGGCCUUGUGGUUGGAGUAUAGGGUUAGCAGGGGUACCUGGAGCUAUACCAGAUCUCUCUCUACUAGCAGUAUUUGGUGCUGGAGCUCUAGUAAUGAGGGGAGCAGGAUGUACAAUCAAUGAUAUGUGGGAUAGGAAUAUAGAUCAACAUGUUGAGAGAACACGGAACAGACCAAUCACAUCAGGACAGAUUUCCUUGUUUGACGCUCUUGUGUUUCUAAGUGCUCAGCUGGGAGUCGGACUCCUGAUCCUACUGGAGUUGAACUGGUACAGCGUGCUCCUGGGGGCCUCCAGUAUGGGGUUGGUUGUCAUGUAUCCUCUAAUGAAAAGGAUUACUCACUAUCCUCAACUAAUCCUGGGACUUGCCUUCAACUGGGGAGCUUUGUUGGGAUGGUCAGCAGCUCAGGGUGCCUGUAACUGGAGUGUAUGUCUCUCCUUGUACUCUGCUGGGAUCUGCUGGACAAUGAUAUAUGAUACAAUAUAUGCACAUCAGGAUAAAUACGACGAUAUUAUUAUCGGAAUGAGAUCUACAGCUAUCAAGUUCGGUGAGCAGACUCCUAUCUGUCUAUCAUGUUUCGCCACAAUGAUGGGAAUGAGUUUAGUUUACUCCGGGAUGUUGUGUCAGCAGUCCUGGCCGUACUAUACCUCCGUAGCAGCAGUUCUAGCUCAUAUCUCCCAUCAGAUCUAUACUCUAGAUAUUAACGACGGAGAGGAUUGUGCAAAGAAGUUCCUGAGUAACCGAUGGGUUGGAUUAAUCCUGUUUCUAGGUUGUAUCGGAGGAACCUACUGUAAGGAGGAGGAGGUGGAGCCUACAGAUGUUACAACUAUCCUCCAAGAUGCAACCAAAUCCAAUUUUCUUAUUUAGUCAACGUCUUAUUUUAGUCUUCUACAUUUACAGUAUCUAAUAUCCAUACAGGACAAAUUGUUUUCGUUUGAAUACUAAAAGUCAUUAAUUCAUGUUUUGUUUAUUGUUAAAGAUAUAUAAAAAUACUGAUUUGUAGUCCGGAGAUAUGCCUCAUGUCUCUUAUUUCUUAAUAAUCGAUUUAUGAUUAAAUAUAAAUAAAUUUUAUUUGAUUAA